rnacentral:misc_RNA from 1 species
GAUGAAGAACGCAGCGAAAUGCGAUAAGUAGUGUGAAUUGCAGAAGUACCGUGAAUCAUCGAAUCUUUGAACGCAAAUUGCACUCUCUGGUAUUCCGGGGAGUAUGCCUGUUUGAGGGUCGCUUAACAAACCAUCGAUUUCGUUGCUUUUUUUUUAAAGUGAUGUUUAUCGGAUUUGAGCCGUCUUUUUUUUUAUAUUUAAGUGGCUUAAAAUUGAUUUUUUUUGUACGAUCGAAGCGUAUUUUUAUGAUCAAUUUUUGGUUAAAGAAACGCACACGUACCGUUAUUUAUAUGAUGUAAUACGUUUGACUAUUGGAUUUAGUUCAUUCGUAUACGAUAUCUUUCAAUAUUUGACCUCAAAUCAGGUAAGAACACCCGCUGAACUUAAGCAUAUCAAUAAGCGGAGGA